AUAAACGCUGGCGGCGUGCCUAAUACAUGCAAGUCGAGCGAGGUAUUCAGCAAUGGAUACCGAGCGGCGAACGGGUGAGUAACACGUUGGGAACCUACCCCACUGAUCGGAAUACCCAAGGGAAACUUUGGUUAAUGCCGAAUACGUGGUUCCGGGAUAACCUGGAGUCAUAAAAGGCGGCCUUAAAGCCGCGCAGAGGGAUGGACCUGCGGCGCAUUAGCUAGUAGGUGAGAUAAUAGCCCACCUAGGCGAGGAUGCGUAGCCGACCUGAGAGGGUGAACGGCCACACUGGAACUGAGACACGGUCCAGACUCCUACGGGAGGCAGCAGUAGGGAGUAUUCGGCAAUGGGGGAAACCCUGACCGAGCAACGCCGCGUGAAUGAUGACGGCCUUCGGGUUGUAAAAUUCUGUGGCGAGGAACGAAUGGCAAGGAGAGGAAAUGCUCUUUGUUUGACGGUACCUCGCUAGAAAGCCACGGCUAACUACGUGCCAGCAGCCGCGGUAAUACGUAGGUGGCAAGCGUUAUCCGGAAUUAUUGGGCGUAAAGAGUGAGCAGGCGGUUUUUUAAGUCUGAAGUCAAAUCCUGUGGCUCAACCACAGUUCGCUUUGGAAACUGAAGAACUAGAGUGCGGGAGAGGUAAGCGGAAUUCCAUAUGUAGCGGUGAAAUGCACAGAUAUAUGGAGGAACACCGGUGGCGAAGGCGGCUUACCAGCCCGAUACUGACGCUCAGUCACGAAAGCGUGGGGAGCAAAUAGGCUUAGAUACCCUAGUAGUCCACGCCGUAAACGUUGAGGACCUGAUGCCGGAGUAUUUCGGUGUCGUAGCUAACGCGUUAAGUCCUCAGCCUGGGUACUACGUUCGCAAGAAUAAAACUUAAAGGAAUUGACGGGGGCCCGCACAAGCGGAGGAACAUGUGGUUUAAUUCGAUGAUACGCGAGGAACCUUACCCGGGCUUCAAUUGCAGAUGAAUUACGGUGAAAGCCGUAAGCCGCAAGGCAUCUGUGAAGGUGCUGCAUGGUUGUCGUCAGCUCGUGUCGUGAGAUGUUGGGUUAAGUCCCCUAACGAGCGCAACCCUUGUCUCUAUUUGCCAUCAUUAAGUUGGGAACUAUAGAGAGACUGCCGGUGCAAACCGGAGGAAGAUGGGGAUGACGUCAAAUCAUCAUGCCCCUUAUGCCCUGGGCCACACACGUGCUACAAUGGCCGGUACAGAGAGAAGCAAUCCCGUGAGGAGGAGCAAAUCUCACAAAGCCGGUCUCAGUUCGGAUUGGAGUCUGCAACUCGACUCCAUGAAGCUGGAAUUGCUAGUAAUCGCAGAUCAGCAUUGCUGCGGUGAAUACGUUCCCGGGCCUUGUACACACUGCCCGUCACACCAUGAGAGUCGGCAAUACUCGAAGUCGUUAUCUUAACCCGCAAGGGAGGGAGGCGCCUAAGGUAGGGCUGAUGAUUGGGGUU
rnacentral:rRNA from 1 species